rnacentral:rRNA from 1 species
GAUGAACGCUGGCGGCGUGCCUAAUACAUGCAAGUCGAGCGAACAGAUGAGGAGCUUGCUCCUCUGACGUUAGCGGCGGACGGGUGAGUAACACGUGGAUAACCUACCUAUAAGACUGGGAUAACUUCGGGAAACCGGAGCUAAUACCGGAUAAUAUAUUGAAUCGCAUGGUUCAAUAGUGAAAGACGGUUUUGCUGUCACUUAUAGAUGGAUCCGCGCCGCAUUAGCUAGUUGGUAAGGUAACGGCUUACCAAGGCAACGAUGCGUAGCCGACCUGAGAGGGUGAUCGGCCACACUGGAACUGAGACACGGUCCAGACUCCUACGGGAGGCAGCAGUAGGGAAUCUUCCGCAAUGGGCGAAAGCCUGACGGAGCAACGCCGCGUGAGUGAUGAAGGUCUUCGGAUCGUAAAACUCUGUUAUUAGGGAAGAACAAAUGUGUAAGUAACUAUGCACGUCUUGACGGUACCUAAUCAGAAAGCCACGGCUAACUACGUG